CUGUGAUGUGUGUCACAUAAAAAUAAAGAUAUUGACUGGAGCUAACCAUGAAACUGAUUAAUAAAGUUAUCGCAAUGUUCGAAAAAAUGAAUGUCUCAUUCGGUACCAUUAACGGUUAAUUAUUUCAUUAUUAAUCCGUAAUUUUUCAUAAUAUUUUGGACGACAUUCGGUUCACAGGCGAUGGCUCUGGGUUCAUUACAGACAGACCAUAAAGUAACCAUGCAAUAUGCAUCACCUGUUACUCGUGUUUUUUAUCCGAUGAUGUUUCGCCUUUUGAGCGCGAAUACCAGAAUAUUAACU
rnacentral:ncRNA from 1 species